AAACAAUUCAAGAACGAUAUUGGAUGAAAAUACCAUUUUAAAUAAUGCUACGAGUCCCACCACUCAAAACCAAACCAUCUCCGGGCGACGUAAAUGCUAAUUGACCGGAGCAACUCCGACCAGUUUGUAAAUAUAAAGAAAGGAUUUCACACCAUUUCUCCCAAAUUUCGCCUCAAGUCCCACCGUUGAAAACCAUCCAUAUCCGGCCAAAAUCUAGGGAACUGACCGGUGCAACUUCGAGUUGUUUGUAAAUAGAAAGUUGAUGCCUUUUUCAUCAAGAAUUCCAAAAUCUACACAAACGUAAAAUGGUAGACAAAGGUGUUUUCUCAUCCUUCUUUGUUGGGUUCUAAAUUGUUUAGCUUCUCUGUGUCCCCACACACUUAAAAUCGGCUCAUUCACGGCUGUCCCAACCUCUUUCUCUUUACCUAUACAAUAACGCCUUUUUAAUACUCUCUUUAGUCUUGCAUCUUCCUUUUUUUUCUUCAGCACAAAGUAUAAUUCUUGCUUACACCAAUUCUUGCUGUUUGUGCUUUUUCCUUGUACUGGUUGCCAUUUUCUUUACUAGGUGUGUAAGCAAUUGAUCGGGUAGCAAUGGGAGGAGGGGUGGUUUAUAGUUUUAAUAUUUAUCUUCUUAUUGUAUUUCUACUUCUUCCUUGCAAUUUUGAUUAUCUCCAUGCAUAUCUUUUUGUUUUUGUAAAUAAAUAGAUACAGAUUUGGUGUUAAUGAGUACUAAUAACUUAUACAUUGCUCAUUUUUAUUCUAUUUAGGAAAAGAAAUUAUGGAAAAUCAUGAUUUGUUGCUCGACAUUGAUAAUGAGAAUAAUGUGGAUAAUUUGAACAUAUUGGAUAAUGAAAACGUAGAAGGAGAUGUUGUGACAGUACCUGAGGUAGGUAUGAUAUUUAAUGAUGAGAAAGAAAUGUUGGAGUUCUAUAAAAGAUAUGAUUAUGCCGUAGGCCUUUCGGUUCGAAAAAUGAAUUCGAAAAAGGGUGACGAUGGAGAUAUGAGAUAUGCAACGUUCACAAUUAGUUGUGAAGGUCGAAGAAAUUAUGCUACAAGUAGUUCUUUUAAAGCUGCAACCAACAAGUCAGACAAAUUGUAAAGCAAGAAUAUCUAUAUCUUUAGAUAGUCUUAGAAUUUGGAGAAUUAACAAACUGUACCUUGAUCGUAAUCAUAAACCAAGUCCUUCGAAGUCUAGGUUGUAAUGAUGCAAUUGAAUUUUGAGUACGAGUGUGAAAUGAAAACUCGAAGUGAAUGAUAUGACAGGAAUUUCCUUACAUAAGAGUUACAACUUCGCAGUUGUGGAAGCAGGCGGAUAUGAGAAUACGACUUUUGUGAAGAGGGAUUGUCAGAACUAUGUUGAACAAGUGAGACAAUUAUGCCUUGGACAAGGAGAUACCAUCACAUUACAGGCGUGCUUUUCAAAGAAUUACGCCUUUAAUUAUGUAAGCAAUCUUACAAAGAUGUUGUCACUUUUGAUGCUACAUACCAAAUAAGUACGAUAUGCCCCCUUUGUUGGGAUGAAUCAUCAUGGACAAUCUACACUACUCGGUCGUGGAUUGUUAUCGAAUGAGGACACAACGACUUUUGUGUGGUUGUUCAGGACAUGGUUUGAGUGCAUGCAUGGUGAAGCUUCCAAUGAAAUCAUUAUUGAGUAAGAUAGGGUAAUGCAAAAUGCUAUUGAGAUUUUUUUUUGAAGACAAAGCAUAGAUGGUGUAUGUAGUAUAGUAUGAAGAAGUUGUUAGAAAAGUUUGGCGACCAUAUCCAGAGAAUCUCGAUUUUUUCUGCUAUAAGAUUAGUAUAUGAUUUAGAUAUUGCUUAAGAAUUUGAAGAAGGUUGGAGGUUGAUACUCGAUAAGUAUGAUUUCUAUGAUAAUGAUUGGUUAUCAAGAUUGUAUGAGAGCAGGGAUCGUAGGGUUCCAUAUUAUUUGAAGACCAGAUUUUGGGUAGGGAUGUCCACGACCUAACAAUCUGAGAGUAUAAAUGCAUUUUUCGAUCGAUAUGUGCAUUUGUUGAAGUAGUUCAUUGAUUAAUAUGAAAGAGUACUGAGAAAUAAGGAUGAGAAGAAAUUAUGGGCCAAUUUUAAGUCAUUCUUCCAAAUGGUGCCUUGUGCAACAUCUUUUGAAAUAAAAAAGUAAUUUCAAGCAGUCUAUACCAUUUCGAAGUUCAACAAGAGUUAACUGGGAAGGAAUAUUAUGACGACGUCAUAUUUGAAAAUAAUAAUAAUUAUUUUUGGAUAACCUACGAUGUGUGAGAGCAUGUCGUAUAUCAUAAGCACUAGAAGAAGAAAACUUUUUACCAUCAUUUCGGAUGGAGUCAUGUGAUUUGAUUUGUAGCUGCCACUUGUUCGAGUUUUGAGGAAUCAUUUAUAGGCAUGCGAUCGCAUUGUUAUUUCGUAACGACAUCACGACGAUGUUGGAUAGGUACAUACUAAUGAGAUGGAGGAGAGAUGUUAGUAGAACACACACGAAUGUUGUAGUGAAUUAUGAUGGAUUGGUGAGUACCCUGAACAGUUGAGGUACGACGAUGGGUUGGGAUUUUUCAGAGGUCACAGACCUCAUGGAAAAUGACCAAGGGGUGACACGUACUAUAAUGGACUGGAUAAAAUUUCAAGCAUCAAAUUUGUGGAUGUCAAUAUCAAGUAUCAGAAGCACUAUUGAUAAGUGUGUUUUUACAUACUUAUUCGGCCCACAAAACAUGAUUAAUUGUUGAUAAAGUUUUGAAUAUGACUUAAAUCUAUGCAAUUUCAUUUUGUAGGGCCAUAUUGAUGGAUAUGAUGGAACUCAAGAAAAAAGAAGCGAAAAGGGGCAAAAAUGAAAGAAAAGAAAAGUUCAAGGACCAAAGUGAAAAUAAUCCAUAGAUGAGAUGGGUGAUGGAAUGAAGAUUCAAGAGUUUUAGGGGUCAAUCAGAUGAGAAAAGAAGUCAGAGAGAUGAAAUAUAGCCGAAGUAUUAUCACAUAUAAACUUCCCGGCAAAAAAGUUAUGUUCCAGAUUUCUAUCCUUUGUUUGAGACCCAUUUUGGCAUAGUAAACAUUCAAAUUGGAAAAAGUCUGUAUCAACUAAAAUUGUAGUCCUUUCUGUUAGCUUGUUAAUGCACUUUGAAUUGUCUCAAUUGGACAUAAGGAGAGAAAGUUAUUACCAAAAUACUAAAAUUUGUCCGGCAGAGAAAAUAGUUGAACUAUGUGGUCGCAUGGUUCAAAAUGCCAUGCAGUCGCAUACACCAUAGUAGGGAUUUCAAAGGGGGAUUUUGGCCUAACUAUGCGGUCGCAUAGCUAUAAUUCGGGGGCAAAUUUUACAAUUUCAUUUUCUCGUUAAAACUCUUAUAAAACCUAGUUGGGACGCAAUAUAUAAACUCUAAAGUCAUCAAAUUAAAGGGAAAAUGCAUUGGGAAGGAGAAGAACACAUAUUGGAGAGAAUUUGGAGCCACAACAACAAAGAAAAAAACAAAGACGGACGGGAUUUCAAGAAGUUAUUUAAUCCGAUGAUGUUAUUUCUUUGAGUUAUCAUGUAUUUUGUAAUUUUCUCCAUGCUAGGGUAGAAAUUCUUUCAUGAAAUUAUUUAAUCUCGUAAUGUGAUUUUGAAUUCCUUUUUCUAUAUUUUUGACAUUAAAACACAUAUUGAAUAUUUUGAGUGGUUUAUAUCAUUUAAUUUCUUCUAUAAUUACUGGGCCCGUAAUUGUGUGACUGUGGUGAUCUAUUUCUUGCAUUCGAGAAAAGGGGAAUAAGUUCGACAAGGUAUAAAUCGUCGUAGAGUCCGAUAGGGGAUAGAAAAAUACUGCUAUGCUCUACGUGAAUUGUUAAGUGCUUACAAAACUACAUGCAUUCUUAUAUAUUUGCACCCGUCAUAGAGAUAUAGGUCAGUGGUAUAUGAGGUUAGGUUCAACUUUACUCGAAAGAGACCGUUGGAUAGAUUUAGGAGCAUUGAUUCUUCGUAAUUUUAACGUAUUGUCAAAUUAUAGAACUAGGAUUAAAUUAAGUAUUGCUUGGGGAUUCGUGAUCCUAGUGUAUUAUACAUUCAUUAAGUUCAUCAAUUUUCAUUCCAAACAUUCAAUUUGCAUUUUUAGUUCGUCUAAGCUUCAGUUUGUAUUUUAAUUCAUUCAAGUCAUACACUUUUGUGUACCUAGUUUAGGUUAGAGUUUAAUUAAGUUAUAAAAUCACUUUUGACAAUCUUGUUUCGAUUAAGGCCUAGAUAAAUAAAAUUAGGCUGCUCAAUCUCUGUGAGACGAUAUUCGGACUUUAAAAUCCCCUACUUGUUGCGAACUGUACACUUUCGGAGCUUUACGAAAUAUUAUUUUUGUGAACAACUAUCCAUUCGCAAAAUAAUAUGAACUUGGGCUCUACUUGUAACGAUUCUCAAAAUACAGAAGGGCCCGAAUAUUAGAUUUUAUAUCGUCGAGCUGAAACGAUGCGCCAACAAAACGUCGACGAAAAAGCCCAUUGGAGUCGACUUUGAAGAUCGUAAAGGUAUUUUUCACAAUUACCCUCUUGAUGCACUGCGAAUUUGAAGCCACAUAAUGAUUUUCAUUGAUGAACAUGCUAGCCACUUCAACGUCAAACAAGGACAAAAAGUCGAGAGCUAGGCCUCGUAGUACAAAAGAGGGAGCAACAAACGUUCAGGCAUCUCAACUGUUUAAGUGUUCCAUGCUAUCACCAUUAUCAUGUUCACAACACCUAUUGGUGAGUACAUUGUGUUAAUUCAUCUAUAUAGUUGAAAGUGUUAAAUAUAAUAUUAUUUCAUGUAGGGUUACAAUGCCAGUUUGACAUCGCCGCUUACCAAUUUUAUAGUAAAUGAUCAAGGUAAUACAUUGAUCGGGUUUCUUAGGUAUUUAUGUACGAUCAUUUCAUUUAAUCAUAUUCUAAAUUUUAUCUUCUAACCUAGGUCAUGUCAUGUCAUACUACUAUCAACAUUUACUCAAUCAAGGUGAUACAGGAUUGUGAGUCUCACAUUGAAGGUAUAUUUGAUUUAUGCCCAUUCGUCAUCUUUUACUUUUUUCCCCUGCAAAGGGAAGUUGUAAGUUUUCAAGAAUUUUCUAUUUAAGACUAUGUCCGAGGUGCAUUCGAGUGUGGGGGAGAGCUACAAUAAUGAUUCAAACUAUAUGCUUGGACGCUUUGAUGAUUGUAGCAUGGAAGAAAAAUAUAAUAAUGGUGGAACAACGCAUUUUAAUUUACAUUUAAUGAUGAAUUUUAGUUCUAGUUGAUGUUUCUAUGUUUAUUGGAGUGUAAUGUAUUUAAUGAAUUUGAGUGCUUGGAUGCUUUGAUGAUUGUAGCAUGGAAGCAAAAUAUAAUAAUAGUGGAACAACGCAUUUUAAUUUAUAUUUAAUGAUGAAUUUUGGUUUUAGUUGAUGUUCUAUGUUUGUUGGAGUGUAAUGUAUUUAAUGAACUUGAGUGCUUGUAGCUCUGAAUCCUUUUGAAAUAUUGUAGUAAUAGUUGUUCGGUUCUAUGUCAUAUUCGAACGAGAUUGGUCUAAGAAUGCCUAUUGGUGGGACUGUGAGGGAAGCUUCUGUUCUGGGUUAUCAUGUUGUACAAUUUUUCUCAUAUUAUUCAUUGUAAACUCUAACAAACUAGUAUGUUCUAUCAUUAAAGCUCUGUCCACA
rnacentral:lncRNA from 1 species